ACCUGCAAAACCAUCAAAAUAUACACACAAACGAUAAUAAGAAAUCCAAUUUUGUUAGUGUUUAGUUUGCUUUUACUUAAUCUCCGAUUAUAAACCAGAAAGGAAAAAACAGAGACCCAUUUAUUUAAUAUGUAAACGUAAUAUUGUUCUGAAAAUUAAUAAGAUAAUUAAAAUCCUUCUCUCUUGGAAACUUCUUUAUCUUUAUCUGAGUAUCCAAAUCCUAGCUUAACUUGGUGAGUUUACACGGGUUCCUUCCAGGGGACAAAACCUAAACCUUCUUAAGCUUGGAUUUGGAACCAGUUAUAUAAUUUUAUAUAUAUAACAAACAAUUCUCGGUUAAUUUGCAUAUCUCUGCCUCACUUCUUGUUUCUUCACAGUAGUUCUCUUUAGGUUUCCGUUUAUUUGUAUACUCCAAAAAUGAAGCUUUACUCCUUUUCUUCUGAAGAAUCUUCUUUAGGUGAUGAAGAAAACUCUUUUUUUAAUGACGAUGAAAGAAACUCCUUUUCUCACGACGAUGAAGCAUGGGAAUUAUGCUUUUCUUUUGACGAUGAUUGGUUUAAUGAUAACUGAGAAUCUGAAUUUCGCAUUCAUGUAAAGGUUUCUGAUAUUGAUGAAGAAGAAUGCUUUUCUUUUGAAGAUGAUUGUUUUACUGAUAAUCGAGAAUUUGAAUUUCGCAUUCAUGUAAAGGUUACUGAUAUUGAUGAAGAAGAAUGCUUUUCUUUUGAAGAUGAUUGUUUUACUGAUAAUCGAGAAUUUGAAUUUCGCAUUUAUGAAGAGGGCAAUGAUACUGAUGAAGAAGAAUUGGAAUUAUCGUUUUGGAGGAAGGUUAUUGAGAUUGAAGAGCUACUCGAUACUGCUGAUGAUUGUUUUAACGAUGAGGAUGAAGAAUUGGAAUUCUCUUUUUAUCAAAAGGUUAUUGAGAUAGAAAAGUUGUUGGAUAGUGCUGAUGAUGAUCAAGAAAGCCUCAAGACUGGCGGUGAUGAUGGAGAUCAUAACUAUAAUUACGAGGAUGAGGAUGAUUCAGAUAAAGAGCUUCUACUUCUUGCUGAUUCUUACAUUAAUGCCACGCCUCAAGAAUGGUUUUUAGUUCUAGUUUCUAAGGAUUAGGAUUUUUCAUCUAUGUUUGCAAAGCGUUUUGUUUUUUCAUGUUUUCUUUUUGAACUUUUCUGCAAUCUGUUGCCUGUCUGCUUGUAAUCAUAUUAUUGGUUGAGGUUGAUUCAUUCAUCGACAAAGUAGUUCCAUCUUGUCUAAUAUUACAUUGUUUUUUUUUUUUUUUUGUUAAAUUACAGUCGACUAAAAUUUUGUAAAAUAUAUCUAAAAAAACUUUUUUAAGAAAAAAACUAAUUUUUCGAUUAAAAUUGGUUCUGACUUGGAUCGUCUAUCUUAUUUUCAUAAUCUGAAACCUUGUACAUAAUAUUUCAUUGGUUGCUCAUUAAAAAAUAAUAACAAAAAUCUCAUUUUGGUGGGGCAUUAUCCCUACCAGUAAAACUUGACUGAAAAAAAAAAGAAG